UACAUGAAAUAAACACCAACCAAUCAUCAUUUUGUUCUAUCAGUUUUGAGGAUAAACUAAAUCGUACAAAUGUUUUCACUAACAUCCUAAUAGGAUAAUAGCUCACUAACAUGAUGUUUAGAGGUUGUACUACCUUACAAGACGUAUUGCAUGUAUAAAGUGUGAGCUAAAUUUAGCCGGCGGCUAAAUUAUAUCCUAAUAUAUUAGCCAUCAUCUAAGGCCUUGGGUUAUAUCUUAAUACCUGAGGUGUUAACGUUGACAUAGCAAGUUAACCAGUGUUGCAUUUACACAUCAAUCAUUCCUUAUGUUAAGUGACAUUAAGAGGCUGUUUGGAGUUAUUUGUUAAUAUGUUAACAA
rnacentral:lncRNA from 1 species